UACGGAGGGUGCAAGCGUUAAUCGGAAUUACUGGGCGUAAAGCGUGCGUAGGCGGUUUGUUAAGUCAGAUGUGAAAGCCCUGGGCUCAACCUGGGAACUGCAUUUGAUACUGGCAGGCUAGAGUAUGGUAGAGGGAAGUGGAAUUCCGGGUGUAGCGGUGAAAUGCGUAGAUAUCCGGAGGAACACCAGUGGCGGAGGCGACUUCCUGGACCAAUACUGACGCUGAGGUACGAAAGCGUGGGUAGCAAACAGG
rnacentral:rRNA from 1 species